GGGUAUGGGGUACUGCGGAGGAUCAUUAAUGAUUGGGAGACUGUGCUGGCACUAUCUGGGUAUGUGCACGUCUCUAUAAACUCCAAUUUCUACACCCCUGUGCACCUUACAUAGGUAUAGGUUUUUUUGUGGGCUGUCUCUGGAUGGCUUGCUGGCCUUGCCUAUGCAUUUCACAAACGCUUCAGUUUUAGAAUGUCAUAUCGCAUACAAUGCAAUAUAUACAACUUUCAGCAACGGAUCUCUUGGCUCUCGCAUCGAUGAAGAACGCAGCGAAAUGCGAUAAGUAAUGUGAAUUGCAGAAUUCAGUGAAUCAUCGAAUGUUUGAACGCAUCUGGCGCCCCCUGGCAUUCCGGGGGGCACGCCCGUUUGAGUGUCAUGGUAUUCUCAAUACUCCAAAUCUUUGCGGAUGAGGAUGUAUUGGAUUUGGAGGCCUUAUGCCGGCUUUAUAUUAUUUUGUCGGCUCCUCUUAAAUGCAUUAGCAGAGAUGGUUACUGCUACUCUCCAGCGUGAUAAUUGUCUACGCUGCAGCAGUGCGGUAUAAUUGAAGUCUCUGCUUCUAAUUGUCUUUGGACAAAUCUAUUGACUAUUCGACCUCAAAUCGGGCGGGACUACCCGCUGAACUUAAGCAUAUCUAAAACCGGAAAGACCCCA
rnacentral:rRNA from 1 species